GAUGAACGCUGGCGGCGUGCCUAAUACAUGCAAGUCGAGCGAACAGACGAGGAGCUUGCUCCUCUGACGUUAGCGGCGGACGGGUGAGUAACACGUGGAUAACCUACCUAUAAGACUGGGAUAACUUCGAGAAACCGGAGCUAAUACCGGAUAAUAUAUUGAACCGCAUGGUUCAAUAGUGAAAGACGGUUUUGCUGUCACUUAUAGAUGGAUCCGCACCGCAUUAGCUAGUUGGUAAGGUAACGGCUUACCAAGGCAACGAUGCGUAGCCGACCUGAGAGGGUGAUCGGCCACACUGGAACUGAGACACGGUCCAGACUCCUACGGGAGGCAGCAGUAGGGAAUCUUCCGCAAUGGGCGAAAGCCUGACGGAGCAACGCCGCGUGAGUGAUGAAGGUCUUCGGAUCGUAAAACUCUGUUAUUAGGGAAGAACAAAUGUGUAAGUAACUAUGCACGUCUUGACGGUACCUAAUCAGAAAGCCACGGCUAACUACGUG
rnacentral:rRNA from 1 species